GGCGACGAGACGCUGUGUUCUGAAGUGCGACUCAAAAGCAAACUUUUUUCAUCUGCCCAAGGAUGAGCAUUUGAAGACUAAGUGGCUACAAUUCAUAUAUACAACUGUACCACAGAAGUAUAGUUCGAGCCUUGUGCUUUGUUCACGCCAUUUUGAAGACGAUUGCUUUACCAACUUAAAUGCAAUCAAACUUGGAUUCGCGAGCCGGCUGAUAUUGAAGGAAGGUUCAGUUCCAAGUGUAUUUGCAUCAGCGUCCUCCUCCGUAUCACAACCUAUUGAAAACAGUCCCAUGGCCAGUGACUAUAUCCACCCUAAGGCCAGGAGAUGGAAAAUGAGAAAAUGACACUUGUGAAGACCUGGCCUUGGAUGACUGAUUAGAAGUGACUCAUUGACAGCAUGAGCUGUCAUGCUCAUUUGUAAUAAGCCUGGAAAAAGGACAGAGGAGAGGUAGCGGAAACAAAAAGGGAGC
ensembl:lncRNA